UUGUGGUUAAAAAGCUCGUAGUUGGAUCUCAACAGCCUUGAAGCGGUUAACUUUGUAGUUUUACUGCUUUAUAGGCUGUGCUUUUGCUGGAGGUUUAGGGGUGCUCUUGAUCGAGUGUCUCUGGAUGCCAGCAGGUUUACUUUGAAAAAAUUAGAGUGCUCAAAGCAGGCUAAAAUGCCUGAAUAUUCGUGCAUGGAAUAAUAGAAUAGGAUGUCGAUCCUAUUUUGUUGGUUUUCGGGACUCGACAUAAUGAUAAAUAGGGACAGUCGGGGGCAUUUGUAUUCAAACGACAGAGGUGAAAUUCUUGGACCGUUUGAAGACAAACUACUGCGAAAGCAUUUGCCAAGAAUGUUUUCAUUAAUCAAGAACGAAAGUUAGAGGUUCGAAGGCGAUUAGAUACCGCCCUAGUUCUAACCAUAAACGAUGCCAGCUAGCGAUCUGCCUGCGUUUUUACUGUAGACUGGGCAGGAAGCUUCCGGGAAACCAAAGCAUUUGGGUUCCAGGGGAAGUAUGGUUGCAAAGCUGAAGCUUAAAGGAAUUGACGGAAGGGCACCACCAGGAGUGGAGCCUGUGGCUUAAUUUGACUCAACACGGGAA
rnacentral:rRNA from 1 species